AGUGAACGCUGGCGGUAGGCCUAACACAUGCAAGUCGAGCGGCAGCACAGUAAGAGCUUGCUCUUACGGGUGGCGAGUGGCGGACGGGUGAGGAAUACAUCGGAAUCUACUUUUUCGUGGGGGAUAACGUAGGGAAACUUACGCUAAUACCGCAUACGACCUACGGGUGAAAGCAGGGGAUCUUCGGACCUUGCGCGAUUGAAUGAGCCGAUGUCGGAUUAGCUAGUUGGCGGGGUAAAGGCCCACCAAGGCGACGAUCCGUAGCUGGUCCGAGAGGAUGAUCAGCCACACUGGAACUGAGACACGGUCCAGACUCCUACGGGAGGCAGCAGUGGGGAAUAUUGGACAAUGGGCGCAAGCCUGAUCCAGCCAUACCGCGUGGGUGAAGAAGGCCUUCGGGUUGUAAAGCCCUUUUGUUGGGAAAGAAAAGCAGCAGGUUAAUACCCCGCUGUUCUGACGGUACCCAAAGAAUAAGCACCGGCUAACUUCGUG
rnacentral:rRNA from 1 species